rnacentral:rRNA from 1 species
GACGAACGCUGGCGGCGUGCCUAAUACAUGCAAGUAGGACGCAGUUGCGAACGGGUGAGUAACGCGUAGGUAACUACCUAUUAGAGGGGGAUAACUAUUGGAAACGGUAGCUAAUACCGCAUACCCUCGGAUGUGCCCAGAUGGGAUUAGCUAGUAGGGGGGGUAACGGCGCACCUAGGCGACGAUCCCUAGCUGGUCUGAGAGGAGGACCAGCCACACUGGAACUGAGACACGGUCCAGACGCCUACGGGAGGAAGCAGUAGGGAAUCUUCGGCAAUGGGGGGAACCCUGACCGAGCAACGCCGCGUGAGUGAAGAAGGUUUUCGGAUCGUAAAGCGCUGUUGUGAAGGAAGCGGUACUUAACCAGAAAGGGACGGCUAACUACGUGCCAGCAGCCGCGGUAAUUC